CGGAGGAAAAGAAACCAACAGGGAUUGCCUUAGUAACGGCGAGUGAAGCGGCAACAGCUCAAAUUUGAAAUCUGGCCCUCGGGUCCGAAUUGUAAUUUGUAGAGGAUGAUUUUGGUGCGGUAUCUUCCGAGUUCCUUGGAACAGGACGCCUUAGAGGGUGAGAGCCCCGUACGGUUGAAUGCCUAGCCUCUGUAAAUCUCCUUCGACGAGUCGAGUAGUUUGGGAAUGCUGCUCUAAAUGGGAGGUAAAUUUCUUCUAAAGCUAAAUAUUGGCCAGAGACCGAUAGCGCACAAGUAGAGUGAUCGAAAGAUGAAAAGCACUUUGAAAAGAGGGUUAAAUAGCACGUGAAAUUGUUGAAAGGGAAGGAUUUGUGACCAGACUUUUUCUGGGCGGAUCAUCCGGGGUUCUCUCCGGUGCACUUUGCCCAGUAAAGGCCAGCAUCGAUUUUCGGCGGCGGAUAAAAGCAGUGGGAAUGUGGCUCCCUACGGGGAGUGUUAUAGCCCAUUGUAUAAUACGCUGCUGGGGAUCGAGGUACGCGCUUCUGCAAGGAUGCUGGCGUAAUGGUUAUCAAUCACCCGUC
rnacentral:rRNA from 1 species